rnacentral:rRNA from 1 species
GGUCGCAAGGCUAAAACUCAAAGGAAUUGACGGGGGCUCACACAAGCGGUGGAGCAUGUGGCUUAAUUCGAAGCAACGCGAAGAACCUUAUCCUAGGUUUGACAUACACGGAUUAGCUAUAAGAAACUAUAGUGACACCUUCGGGUGGAACGUGAACAGGUGCUGCAUGGCUGUCGUCAGCUCGUGCUGUGAAGUGUCGGGUUAAGUCCCUUAACGAGCGCAACCCUUAUCGUUAGUUGCUACCAGGUAAUGCUGAGGACUCUAGCGAGACUGCCGGUGUUAAACCGGAGGAAGGUGGGGAUGACGUCAAGUCCGCAUGGCCUUUAUGCCUAGGGCUGCACACGUGCUACAAUGGCAAGUACAGAACGACGCAAUACCGCGAGGUGGAGCAAAUCGCAAA